AAAAACAAAAAACCUGAGAUCACAGGUGGUAGAUAAACAGAUGGAAGGGAGCCCUGAAAGGACAGGGAAACAGUGUCCUGCUCCUCAUGAGACUUAGCCAGGGACCCCUCACAUAGGUGGUCCUGCUAGCAUGUAGCAAGGGAGGAGAACAAAAGUAUAGCAUGGACCUGCUAGCAUUUGGAGUAAACCAAGAUGCAGUUUUCUCCAGUUGUCCCACAUCUGGGUUCAUCAGACACUGGUUACCUCCACUGUGAUGCCUGGGUAUCCUCAGCACCAAGCAGCACAAGGGCGACCAAGACAUUGCCACACAUCCUCCAGGAUGUGGAUGCGGCCAAGUUGAGAGUUGCCUGCCAUGGUCAGGGAUGGGCUGGCCGGCCGGUUAAACCAGUGACCACAUGAGGGAUGUGGCUGAAACACAGAGUGGUCUACAGGGCCACCAAAGCCAAGGUGGUGGCUACGUCCACUGAAGAAAAAUACACAAUUUAAAAGUUGUGAAUUAUGUUUUAUUUAGGAAACUUGCUGAGGACUAUAGCCCAGGAGGUAGCCUCUCAGUUCAGAGGCAUUACUCUCAAGUAAGGGAGGAGUUUUUGCUGGGAAAAAAAACAAAAAUAUAAACAAACAUGUAGUUUAAUAUCAAAAGACUAUUGCUAAUUACCAAAACAGCAACAAUGAAAAAACUCAUCUCAAGUUGAUGAUUUUAGUGUUUUUCUAAGGGAAGAUGCAAGAGUCUGGGUGCAUUGAAAUUAUUCCUUAGAUAUAGAUCUUAACUAUGUAGGGCCAGUAUCUUGUUUUUCUCUACCUUGAAUUCCCCCCAGGGCCCACGGGCAGGGGCAGCUAUAGUGGCUGAUGACUUGAUGGCUUGUAACAUCUGUUGUUUACUGAAGUGGUAGGCAACUUAUUUUAAAUUUUUUAUCUGCAGCUGGGAUCAAGUCACAAGGGAAGACCCUCCACCCCUGACUGGGCCAGAAACAGCCACCGUUUGCCCAAGCACAAAGCUGCUUUCUUCCUGACCUUUGACUCUUCCCACAAAGAAGUUCAUGACAACGGUGUUUUCAGAAGCCGAUACCAUAUCCUCCUGUUUCUACUUGCAAGAAAAUACCUGGGCUCCCACUUUCUCCAACAAGGGAAGCUAAAGCACUCUUUUGGAAGCGGAAACCACAGAGCCACUGGUAAGCCGUCCAGAUUGUGAGUCAUAGACUAGCGUUUUGUAAUAUUAAUAAAUGUUCCUUUAAAAGAAGACUCCUUAGCAGCAGACCUUGCCCAAGAAGACCUUGGGCAAGGGUGAGGGAACACACAGCUUCCCUUAGUAAAAUCCAGAUCUUCUAAGGUUGGCAGUGGAAAAAAGACAUGCAGGUGGUGCAUCCAGCUGUCCAACUGUAUAACCCCCUGCCCCCCAGUUCACCUUCCCUUUGAAAAGGGAGAUUCAGUCAUGCUCAGGUUUGCACAUGCACUCUCUCUCUCUCUCUCUCACACACAUACACUCUUGUCACUUUGACUUCCCUUCAAUACUCUGGUCUGAAGAUGGCUAAAACCCCUUCCCUCACAUCGCUAUGAAAGACUUGAGAAUGACAAAAACUUAAAAAAAUC